CCUACGGUGGAUGCAGUGAGGAAUAUUUGUCAAUGGGCGCGAGCCUGAACCAGCCAAGUCGCGUGAGGGGAGACGGCCCUACUGGUUGUAAACCUCUUUUGCCGGGGAGCAACGGGCGCCACGGGUGGCGCCUCUGAGAGUACCCGGAGAAAAAGCAUCGGCUAACUCCGUGCCAGCAGCCGCGGUAAUACGGAGGAUGCGAGCGUUAUCCGGAUUUAUUGGGUUUAAAGGGUGCGUAGGCGGAGCGGUAAGUCAGUGGUAAAAUUGAGGGGCUCAACCCCUUCCCGCCAUUGAAACUGGCGCUCUUGAGUGGAAGAGAAGUAUGCGGAAUGCGUGGUGUAGCGGUGAAAUGCAUAGAUAUCACGCAGAACCCCGAUUGCGAAGGCAGCAUGCCGGCUUCCGACUGACGCUGAAGCACGAAAGCGUGGGGAUCGAACAGGAUUAGAUACCCGGGUAGUC
rnacentral:rRNA from 1 species